rnacentral:rRNA from 1 species
GGGACGCCAGUACAGGUGGUGCAUGGCUGUCGUCAGCUCGUGUCGUGAGAUGUUGGGUUAAGUCCCGCAACGAGCGCAACCCUUAUUCUUAGUUGUUUCCCUUUGGGAUUACCCUCUAAGAAGACUGCCUCGGAUAACGGGGAGGAAGGCGGGGGAUGACGUCAAGUCCGCAUGCUCCUUACGUCUAGGGCUACACACGUCCUACAAUGGGGUCGACAAUGGGAUGCAAUAUCGCAAGAUGGAGCCAAUCCCCAAACGGCCUCUCAGUUCGGAUUGUAGUCUGCAACUCGACUACAUGAAGUCGGAAUCGCUAGUAAUCGCGUAUCAGCGUGACGCGGUGAAUACGUUCCCGGGCCUU